UUGCGGAUCCUUUGAGAGCCCUUAAUGUGCACAGUAAUUCUCCAAGAAGGGGACAGAAGUCCCUGGGCUUCCCAUGCUUGUUUAGUUUUUAUGGAUCCCUCUGCUGGAUGAGUGUUCACAGGACCACACUUUGUGAAAUACUCAGUCAGCUCUAUCAGCAAAUUAUAUCACGGGAAUUGGUUACUUUCAUUUGGAUGCUUUGCCCAUGUUACCCAGACUUAGGAAAAUAUUUUACAAUUUGGGGUGUAUAUGAGAUAUUUGGGGGCAUUUUCUCCAAUAUCAACUUCCUGCUUCUGAAAUUCAGGUUAAAACACUGACCUAAAUUACGGAAAUCACAAUCUCCUUCACCAUCACCAACAGUGCCACCAUCAUCAAAUCAUGAUCAGCAUCGACCAACACGAUGAUUCCCACUACCACUAUCACAUUAAUAGCACCACUACCAUCCUACCGUGCCCAGCGAGACAACUGCCAUCACGGUCACUAUGACCAACACCAUAUUACCACCGCUGCCACUAAUAUGCCUCAUUGCUAUGCCAAUAAUCACUAACAGCAUUACCACCACACUCCAACUAACCAAUGCUGCUGCCAUCAUUACUGCCAUGAUCUGUACUACCACCACUGCCACUAGUGCAAACAUCACCACUACUGCUGUUAAAGCAGCCACCACCACUGCACCCACUGUCGCCACUGUCCUUUCCACAUCCAGAUGAAGAAAGAAGAAGAGAUAGAAAGCAUAGUUUCAUUAUUCUAGGUCAUAUUCAAAGGUUGGUCACUAGAUAUAAUUGCACAUAUGUUCCCCUAGUUACUAUGGCAUCCCAAUAGCCAUCAAGUGGAACCAGACAUGGUAUCAUAGCAGAAUCCUGAGGUCUAAGGUCUAGUUUAAAUAAGACUUCUGAUCCAAGGUAGGGGUCCCUCAAUUACCUCUAUGACAGGAGGCAAAGAUGUCACACACGACUGCAUGUCAGCUAAACUCAUUGGAAGAUUCAUUUCUGCCUUCAUAAAUGUAGACACUGGGCUUCAGCUAGUUGUAAGGGAGCAGCCCCUGGUGCAAGCCACGUAGCAACUAGAGGGGCUUUAAAAUCAGCACAAAAUUAAGUUUUAUUGCUGCUUUGAGGAAUGUUCAGGUUGGUGGGAGGGGAUUACAGCAGACAAGUGUUUAAUUUACUCAACUAUAUGCUCAAGUUUAUGUAACUGAGCUAUUUUAAAAUUACAUUUUAUGUAUGCAUUGCUGUAUAUAUUGCACAUAUAUAAAUGUACAAUAAUAAUAAAGAGUGGCAUAUAUGAGUCUCAGGAAUUGUGCCAAAGGCUUUACAUAUACUCUCUUUAAUCCUUUUAACUCCUGUAUGAAAGGAGUGUGACUGUCAUUCUCAUUUUCCUAAUGAACAAACUGUGGCAUGAAGAGGUUAAAUAAUUAGCCUAAGCUUACAAAGCUAAUUAAUUGUAAGACUAAGAUCUAAACCCAGGUAGUCUGGUUCCAGGGCCCAUGAUCUUAACCAACACUCUACAUUUUAACACACUGUCUGCACAUUGUCUACACACAGAUGCAGUGUGUGUACAUCAGUUGUAUAAAUAUAUCAUCUUGCAUGAAGUAAUUUAAGGGAUGUUCAAGGAUAUUGUUGAUUAUAUGCAAUUUAUCUCAUGUGCUGAUUUUUAAGCCUAGUCCCAGAGGAAAUGCAAGUUCACUGAAAUCUAAGGGGGGAAAAAAGACACGAAAAACCAACAAGUGCAAAGCAGUGUGGUGCAGAAUGUGGUGGCAGAGCAACAACCACUCUCAGCAAAAUCCUCAUUAAUUCAUGCCACAAAGAAGCCAACUGCUGGUUCUCCA
ensembl:lncRNA COPB2-DT COPB2 divergent transcript